rnacentral:rRNA from 1 species
CGAGUUUGAUCCUGGCUCAGGAUGAACGCUAGCGGCAGGCUUAACACAUGCAAGUCGAGGGGCAGCGCGAUGUAGCAAUACAUUGGCGGCGACCGGCGCACGGGUGCGUAACACGUAUGGAACUUACCCUUUACUGGGAGAUAGCCCGGAGAAAUCCGGAUUAAUAUCCCAUAAUAAACGAAGUGGCAUCACUUUGUUUUGAAAGCUCCGGCGGUAAAGGAUGGCCAUGCGCACGAUUAGCUAGUAGGUGAGGUAACGGCUCACCUAGGCUACGAUCGUUAGGGGGCCUGAGAGGGUUAUCCCCCACACUGGUACUGAGACACGGACCAGACUCCUACGGGAGGCAGCAGUGAGGAAUAUUGGACAAUGGAGGCAACUCUGAUCCAGCCAUCCCGCGUGCAGGAAGACAGCCCUAUGGGUCGUAAACUGCUUUUAUACAGGAAUAAACCCCUCUACGUGUAGAGGGCUGAAGGUACUGUAAGAAUAAGGACCGGCUAACUCCGUG